CAUAGCAUUUACCUUGGCAGUGUUGAUGGCAGCCCCGUAGCCUGAUGAGAACCCACAUCCAAUCAGACAAACUCUCUCCAAGUUUGCGUCAUCAUCAACUCUGGCAAGAUUGGCUUCUGAAACUACAGUGUACUGAGAGAAUGAACUGACUCCCAUGAAAUGAUUUGCAGAGGGGCUAAGAAAAUGAGAAGAAAUGGAAGACGUUUUGAAGAGCAGAGGCCACAGCAAGAAACUGGACAGAUACAUCUGAGCUGCCUGGAAGCAAGGUCAGUAUCAUGGGCUGUUCUUCCAGGGGAAAAAGGUCAGAGUGUGGAAGACACAGAACGAGAUGCACAAGCACUGAAUACCACAUACAUCUUAUUAAAUAUUAAUGAAAUAUAAAAUGAGCAGUUAUAGCUAGUACACUUUUGUAUCCUGUGAAUGUUAAAAAACAAAGCACAGCUACUAAAACAUAUAAGAAGCCUGUCUAUGGAUGUAAGUAAUUCGAGAAAUCCACGGAGUCUGCUUAAAGGGUGAAGGAAUUUAUCAGGGAGGAAAACUCACUACAUCA